rnacentral:rRNA from 1 species
GAUGAACGCUGGCGGUGUGCCUAAUACAUGCCAGUCGAGCGAACGGACGAGAAGCUUGCUUCUCUGAUGUUAGCGGCGGACGGGUGAGUAACACGUGGAUAACCUACCUAUAAGACUGGGAUAACUUCGGGAAACCGGAGCUAAUACCGGAUAAUAUUUUGAACCGCAUGGUUCAAAAGUGAAAGACGGUCUUGCUGUCACUUAUAGAUGGAUCCGCGCUGCAUUAGCUAGUUGGUAAGGUAACGGCUUACCAAGGCAACGAUGGAUAGCCGACCUGAAGGGGACGAUGGACAGACGGGCAGUGAGGAACAUCCGAGACACUGACGGGGAGAAGCGGUCGGGAAUCUUACGGGAGGCGGGAAAGCCGAAUGUAGGAACGCCGCGGGAAUGAUGAAGGACUACGGAUGCGAGAACUCUGUAGUUAGGAGGGAUGAUAAGCGUAUGUAACUGUGAUGAUAAUGACGGUACCUGAACAAAAAGCCACGGCUAACUCCGUG